rnacentral:rRNA from 1 species
CACUAGUAACGGCCGCCAGUGUGCUGGAAUUCGCCCUUAGAGUUUGAUCAUGGCUCAGAACGAACGCUGGCGGUAUGCUUAACACAUGCAAGUCGAACGAAUUUAGGGGGCAACCUCUAAGUUAGUGGCAAACGGGUGAGUAAUGCAGAGGAAUCUACCUAGCAGUACGGAAUAACUUUGGGAAACCAAUGCUAAUACCGUAUAUUACCGAUUCGUCGGGAAAGUUUUUCGCUGUUAGAUGAGCCUCUGUCGGAUUAGCUAGUUGGUAGGGUAAUGGCCUACCAAGGCGAUGAUCCGUAGCUGGUCUGAGAGGAUGAUCAGCCACACUGGGACUGAGACACGGCCCAGACUCCUACGGGAGGCAGCAGUGGGGAAUAUUGGGCAAUGGAGGAAACUCUGACCCAGCGACGCCGCGUGCGGGAUGAAGGCCUUCGGGUUGUAAACCGCUUUCAGUAGGGAAGAAGCGAAAGUGACGGUACCUACAGAAGAAGCACCGGCUAACUAUGUGCCAGCAGCCGCGGUAAUACAUAGGGUGCAAGCGUUGUCCGGAAUUAUUGGGCGUAAAGAGCUCGUAGGUGGUUCGUUACGUCGGAUGUGAAAAUCUGGGGCUCAACCCCAGACCUGCAUCCGAUACGGGCGAGCUAGAGUUUGGUAGGGGAGACUGGAAUUCCUGGUGUAGCGGUGGAAUGCGCAGAUAUCAGGAGGAACACCAAUGGCGAAGGCAGGUCUCUGGGCCAAUACUGACACUGAGGAGCGAAAGCGUGGGGAGCGAACAGGAUUAGAUACCCUGGUAGUCCACGCCGUAAACGGUGGGCGCUAGUUGUGGGAACCUUCCACGGUUUCUGCGACGCAGCUAACGCAUUAAAGCGCCCCGCCUGGGGAGUACGAUCGCAAGAUUAAAACUCAAAGGAAUUGACGGGGCCCCGCACAAGCAGCGGAGCAUGCGGCUUAAUUCGACGCAACGCGAAGAACCUUACCAAGGCUUGACAUAUACAGGAAUAUGGCAGAGAUGUCAUAGCGGUAAAACGUCUGUAUACAGGUGGUGCAUGGUUGUCGUCAGCUCGUGUCGUGAGAUGUUGGGUUAAGUCCCGCAACGAGCGCAACCCUCGUUCUGUGUUGCCAGCAUUUAGUUGGGGACUCACAGGAGACUGCCGGGGUUAACUCGGAGGAAGGUGGGGAUGACGUCAAAUCAUCAUGCCCCUUAUGUCUUGGGCUGCACGCAUGCUACAAUGGCUGGUACAAAGGGCUGCAAUACUGCAAAGUGGAGCGAAUCCCAAAAAGCCAGUCUCAGUUCGGAUUGGGGUCUGCAACUCGACCCCAUGAAGUCGGAGUUGCUAGUAAUCGUAGAUCAGCAACGCUACGGUGAAUACGUUCCCGGGGCUUGUACACACCGCCCGUCACAUCACGAAAGUCGGUAACACCCAAAGUCAGUGGCCCAACCGCAAGGAGGGAGCUGCCAAAGGUGGGAUCGGUGAUUGGGAUGAAGUCGUAACAAGGUA